rnacentral:tRNA from 1 species
GCGACACUAGCUCAGUUGGUAGAGCACAACCUUACCAAGGUUGAGGUCACGCCUUUUUUUUAUGAAUAGGGAACCUCAUGUGUCGCUCCA